rnacentral:tRNA from 1 species
GGUGAGGUGGCUGAGUGGUUAAGGUGAUGGACUACUAAUCCAUUAUGCUCUGCACAUGUGGGUUCAAAUCCCAUCCUCAUUA